GGCCUGUUGGUCAAGGAUUAUGUUUCUCGCAUAGGGUGCGAGAGGUUCCGGGUUGAAAUCCUGGACAGGCCC